rnacentral:rRNA from 1 species
UCGAGCCGGACAGAAGGGAGCUUGCUCCCGGAUGUUAGCGGCGGACGGGUGAGUAACACGUGGGUAACCUGCCUGUAAGACUGGGAUAACUCCGGGAAACCGGAGCUAAUACCGGAUAGUUCCUUGAACCGCAUGGUUCAAGGAUGAAAGACGGUUUCGGCUGUCACUUACAGAUGGACCCGCGGCGCAUUAGCUAGUUGGUGGGGUAAUGGCUCACCAAGGCGACGAUGCGUAGCCGACCUGAGAGGGUGAUCGGCCACACUGGGACUGAGACACGGCCCAGACUCCUACGGGAGGCAGCAGUAGGGAAUCUUCCGCAAUGGACGAAAGUCUGACGGAGCAACGCCGCGUGAGUGAUGAAGGUUUUCGGAUCGUAAAGCUCUGUUGUUAGGGAAGAACAAGUGCGAGAGUAACUGCUCGCACCUUGACGGUACCUAACCAGAAAGCCACGGCUAACUACGUGCCAGCAGCCGCGGUAAUACGUAGGUGGCAAGCGUUGUCCGGAAUUAUUGGGCGUAAAGGGCUCGCAGGCGGUUUCUUAAGUCUGAUGUGAAAGCCCCCGGCUCAACCGGGGAGGGUCAUUGGAAACUGGGAAACUUGAGUGCAGAAGAGGAGAGUGGAAUUCCACGUGUAGCGGUGAAAUGCGUAGAGAUGUGGAGGAACACCAGUGGCGAAGGCGACUCUCUGGUCUGUAACUGACGCUNAGGAGCGAAAGCGUGGGGAGCGAACAGGAUUAGAUACCCUGGUAGUCCACGCCGUAAAC